AUUGAACGCUGGCGGCAGGCCUAACACAUGCAAGUCGAGCGGAUGAAGGGAGCUUGCUCCUGGAUUCAGCGGCGGACGGGUGAGUAAUGCCUAGGAAUCUGCCUGGUAGUGGGGGAUAACGUCCGGAAACGGGCGCUAAUACCGCAUACGUCCUGAGGGAGAAAGUGGGGGAUCUUCGGACCUCACGCUAUCAGAUGAGCCUAGGUCGGAUUAGCUAGUUGGUGGGGUAAAGGCCUACCAAGGCGACGAUCCGUGACUGGUCUGAGAGGAUGAUCAGUCACACUGGAACUUAGACACGGUCCAGACUCCUACGGGAGGCAGCAGUGGGGAAUAUUGGACAAUGGGCGAAAGCCUGAUCCAGCCAUGCCGCGUGUGUGAAGAAGGUCUUCGGAUUGUAAAGCACUUUAAGUUGGGAGGAAGGGCAGUAGGUUAAUACCUUGCUGUUUUGACGUUACCAACAGAAUAAGCACCGGCUAACUUCGUG
rnacentral:rRNA from 1 species